UACGUAGGGUGCGAGCGUUUGUCCGGAAUUAUUGGGCGUAAAGGGCUCGUAGGCGGUUUGUCGCGUCGGGAGUGAAAACCUCGGGCUUAACUCGGGGCUUGCUUUCGAUACUGCGCGGCUAGAGUGCUGGAGGGGAGACUGGAAUUUACGGUGUAGCAGUGAAAUGCGUAGAUAUCGUAAGGAAGACCAGUGGCGAAGGCGAGUCUCUGGACAGCAACUGACGCUGAGGCACGAAGGCCAGGGAGCAAACGGG
rnacentral:rRNA from 1 species